rnacentral:lncRNA from 1 species
CUUUCUUGUUUGCUUGUUUUCUUUCAUUCCUUCUUUUAUAACAGAGCAAAUGGGUUUUUCCAAAAAAAUAAAGGUUCUUAAUAUGUAUUAUGCAUUUUAUUUAUUUAGAAGUCAUUUUCAAACUUAUCCGAACUGUUAGGAAUAUAUAAUAAAAUUAUAUUACUGUGUUUACUCUCCCCUGGGUAAAUAUAACUUUAUCUAGAAAUAAAAUUAAUCUAAGUAAAAUAAAAUAGUUUAUUUUGUAAAAGAUUUCUUAGAAUGAAAACAUAAAAUUUUAGCAAUUUUCUUUUUUUCAUUUAUUAUAUCCUGAAUUUGCAAAUGCAUUCUUUAGAAGAGUAGAUUUCAGAAGACAAAUGUAUCUGUGGUUGCACAGAAUUUGACAUAUUUGGUCAAAUAUUUAAGUUGCUUUAACAUUUAAUCAAGAUUUUUGUUCUAUUCUAGAAAAUUGUAAAAUCAAACAAUUGUUAAUUUUAACUUAAUAUUGACAGAAACUUUCGAGUUUAAUAUUCUUGUAGAAAUUAAUUUAGAAGCUAGGAUUAAAGUAAGUGAUAUUAGACAGCUAAUUUAUUCUAACAUCAUAAAAUAAACAGAACUUUAUUGUAUAAGAUUUAUUUAACAAGCACAUAAUUAAUAAAAGUGUUUUAUUACAUUAGCACUGAUAUAGUCAAUAACAGUCUUCAGGCAAAGAUGUGCGUUUUGAAAUAAGCUGCAUUUAAAAAUUUACAAUGUUCAAUUAAUACAGCUGUACAUUAUUUUAAUCAAUAUAAACCCUAUCAUACAUAAAAUUAAUAAGGGUUUUAACCUUUUAAUAAGACUUUCAUUUGAGAAUAAAUUUAUCAAUAUUGAAAAACUCAUUUUAAUGCAAAUAACAUUUCUCCUGGGUUUGCACAUACUGCCGCCAUAUCUACAUAUCUGAUUAUUUCUACUUACAGUGGGUUCUUUGCUGAGUCUUUGCAAACUGAAUAUGGAUAUAAAUUAAGAAGGUUUCCAGGGCCAAAAUCAUAUACGUAAGAGUGGUGCAGAUUUCUUAACUUCUUUCUUAACACAACUAACUUUUUAUUCCCAAAUUUAAAGUAUGAGCAAAAUCUCAGUUAAUUAUCAAAGCAAAACAACAAAAAUAAUUCUUUACAUUGGAAAUUCCUUAAUUUUUUGAAAUUAUAGCUUCAAAACAAUUAAUCUAUGCUUUGUAUCUUUAUUUUAAUUAUUUUUUUUCCAUUAUUAGAUCUUAGGCAUGGAAAAAAUAGAAAAAAAUUGCUCCAUUCAACUCCUAGCAUAGAGGUCUUCCGUUCUGAUUUGGAAUUUUAUGUUCCAAAUAAAAUCUGGGAAAGGAAAAGCACAAAAUACUAAUACAGAAAUGACACGGUAAAUUUCAAAAUAGUGACUUUUCACUAUCCUACAGAGUAGAAAGCAAUGACUCAAGAAAUGUUCAAAAUAAAAAUCAGGUGGCCCUUUCAGAAGCAAAAUAUGAUGAGAGCUUUUAAAUUUCACAGAUUAAACGUUCUUAAGAGCUUAAUGUUUCCUCCACUUGCUGAGACUUGGUGCCAUCUGGCUUUUGUAACUCGUGUCCUGACUUUAUAUGGGCAGCAGAGGGCGCUUCGGUAUUUAUUGUUGCCUUCAGAUACCUCCCAAUGCACCGAGCUAGAUCUUGUUCUCAGGAAGGAAACACACUAUUUCCCUGAGGGCUUGAGUAUCUCAAUGGGUCAAAUUGUUCCUAAAUUAUUCUGAGAAGCUUUAAUUUCAGUCCACUAGAUGAAAGUUGUGAUUGUUAAAGGACUCCUACAGCACGCUGUGCAGAAGUUCUCCAAUUGAGAAGCCUGGGUUGUUUUAUUACAAAACUUCUGAGCAUAGAAUUUCAUAGCAGGAAACAUUUGUAAUAGGCAUUAAACUGGAUGCUUAUUUUUGAAAGCAACUGAAAAUAGUCUUAAAAUCUUGAGACAUUAUGGAUCAAUAACCACUCUGAACUUAAUCUUGGCAACUACAUUUCUAAAUUGUGUGUUCAUUCCCUUAUUUAGGCAGUAACACUCAUAUCAUAUAUUUUAUUUUCUUCUAGAAAGCAAUUUUUAAAAGUGAUUAAGCUUUUUAAAUCUAGAGUUUAGAACUGUGUUAAACAGGUAGGAUUAGAGUGUGGGGGAUUAGGUGUGCUCUUAUUAUGUAAUGAGUUACAACAGAAUGCAAGCAGAAAUAGUUCGCCUCUUUAGAUGGUUGCUUUGGGAAAUUCACAUGGGGAGAUGCAGAAAAUCAAGGGAAUUGAAUGACUACUGGAAGGAAGUGGAGUCAUCUGUGAUAACCUCUGUUGCUUAAGUCCAUUUCGAUUUUCAAUGGCUACUUUAAAUUGGCAGAAGAAAAAUAAUCCCAACCUCUUCCUUAUCUUCUUCAUUUACUUGGUAACUCUUUUUUCCCAAUGUUUUACCUACUUUUUCUCAAGUUAUAUAAAAUUAAAUGUAAACUUAAAUAAUUAUUGCAUACGAAACACUCACAGAGCUCUAAAAUGAGAGGAAAAUAAAAUCUGCCCCAAGGCUGGGGGCAAAGAGAUAGACUGCUGAGGAUAUUGUGCUUGGCUGCUUUCAUUUCCUGAAUCAUUUGAUGCAUCUUCAUCAUUCAGGUGUAAAACAACAAAUGUAAUGAAAAUAUCUCUUUUAGGCUAUUGUCAAUGUAUGACCCAUUUCAACAUCUGCAUUAAAAAAUCAGUGUUGCUGCCUCUAUUACCCAAUCUAUAUCAUUUUAUCUGUUACUUAUUUUAACAAGGUUUACGUCAGUGACUUUAUAAACUAACACAUAAAAAACGCAGCAAUAUCUUUUUUGAGCCCAGACUGGCUACACAUUUAUUUCCUAUUUCUUUCUUUCCCUUUUAAUUCAUUAAUUAGGGCAUUUAAAUGUUAUUGUUUAUAUUUAAUACUCUCAAUAGCUAAGUUGGGAUAAUGAAAUAUGCUGAGAAUUUUAAAAUUUGUUGAAAAUAUCAAUACCCACACAUCCAACCCUCCACUACUACAGUACUAAAGUAAAUCUUCAUUGCAUGGGAUUUACUAAGCCAUUCUGCCUAUUUCCGGUAGGCAGGCAGAGACUAACAGAAGGAUGCUGCUGUGGCUGAUUUUUCCGCAGUGCGGGUUUCAGGCCUUCAGAUGCUGCAGUGCCUCCCGCUGGCGGGGAUGCGCUGAGCAGAGUCCGGUGCACCGGUGGCCGGGAGAUGUCCGGGAGCUUGGCCUCCUGGGCCGACAUAAGAAGGCUGUCCUGCUACUAGCCUGUUCCUCGUUUCCAGGCUGCAUUGGCUACUGCCAGGUCUCACUUAGUCACUCCCAAUCCUGUUCCUUCCUGGCAAAUCUUGAAGUCCACACUGGAGUCUGUUCAGAGUCUCUCUGAUAACUACAUCAGCACUAAGAUCCGCAGUUGAGGACUUUGUUUCCAUAUUUUAAGGGAGACGAUAUAAGAAAGAAAACAAUAAUAAAAACCCUUCAUUCUGCUUCUCUUUCUUGCAAGCCUGGCUCCUUGUUUUUACGUAUUUAGGUUUCAGUCUAAACCAACUUAAAUUGUGUUCCAAUGUACAUACACUGUCUGAAGGUGAGUACCUACUGAAGAUGGAAAAGUAAGCUCAAGUGUGGCAAUAGCUAGUGUACAAUUUCGGUAAAAUGUUGUUUCGCUAUAUGUGACCUCUCCCUCUUUUUAAUUUUUAUUUAGUAAAUUACCUAACACCCUGUUACUCUUUCGGGUGGAAGUGAGACCUACUGCUUUUCUGGUUGAACUAGGGAGCGAGAAGGGGGUCAGCACCACGGACAGCGCCAGGCGCGGAGGGCGCGGCCACUCGGGAGCAUCCUCGAAGCCGCACUCCUUUGUUCCCAGCCACUGCAGGCCAAGGCAGAACAAAGACAUCUCUCAAGGCAAGCUUUUUCAGCCUAGGUUUUCCUUAGGCUCCAAGGCCGAGGUGUGGAACUACUGCCCGAACAGUCAGUCUACCUCACUGGCUUCCAAAUAAUUUACCACAUCCUUGUAAAGUUUCUGAACUCGGUCUUUCACCCUAUUCUAUUCUUUUUACUGAUUUUGGCCUUUGUGACAGCACCAAAACAAGGAAGCUAUGCUCGCGUUUUAAAGGUAAGGAGGCCGAGGACUCCAGAUUGGAAGGAGAAAGGGAGAAGUCAAGGCCAGGUCGAGCGGGGGCUGUUGUUUCCAUCUUCGCUCCAGAGUUAAACAAUUUUAGAUUUCUUGUUCCGUGUGGUUAUGGUACCAUAAUCUGUGCUAUACUCCCCUCUCUUCUAUUUUGUUUCGCCAUCUGACCCAGAUUGCAGAUUCAUGUGUUGAAAAGCCAGUUCUCUCUAAACGCUUCUGUGGGAUAUUUGCACAAAUGGGAACUACUGCUCUCCUGACAGCUGUCGAUGAAGCCCCUAAAAUCCACCUUGGGAAUUUGCCUCCGGAUUUCGGAGGCUUUUACUAAAAAGUGCGACUCUUUCACUUCAAAACACUAGCUCAUCUCUGCAAUCAAUGCGGCGGCAUUUAUGUGGCAAGGGAUGGCUUCAUGAUACCACUCUCCACGAUCCCCAGCCAUAGUCUCUUCCCCUUGCCGCCUCUUAAACGCUCUAGCAUUCUCUAGGUGAGCCUUAGGCUCCGCUCUUGGCAUUCACCGCGUGCCUUAAUUGUAUGACAUUAAAUCAAGGUCCGCUGUG